UUCCGGUUGAUUCCUGCCGGAGGCGACUGCUAUUGGAGUUCGAUUAAGCCAUGCGAGUAGAAAGAAAUUAGAUUCUUUGCAUACUGCUCAGUAACACGUGGAUAACCUGCCCUACACUGGGGGAUAAACUCGGGAAACUGAGUAUAAUACCCCAUAGACCACUACGCCUGGAACGGUGAGUGGUUGAAAGCUCAGGCGGUGUAGGAUGGGUCUGCGGCGUAUCAGGUCGUAGGGGGUGUAAUGGACCUCCUAGCCAUCGACGCGUACGGGUUGUGGGAGCAAUAGCCCGGAGACAGAUUCUGAGACACGAAUCCGGACCCUACGGGGUGCAGCAGGCGCGAAAACUUCACACUGCAGGAAACUGUGAUGAGGGAACUCCAAGUGACUGCCCAAUGGGUAGCCUUUUCUUGAAUCUUAAUAGUUCUUGGAAUAAGGGCUGGGAAAGACCGGUGCCAGCCGCCGCGGUAAUACCGGCAGCUCAAGUGGUCGUCGCUUUUAUUGGGCCUAAAACGUCCGUAGCCUGUUUGGUAAAUCUGUGGGUAAAUCAACGAGCUUAACUCGUUGAAUUCUGCAGAGACUGCCAGACUAGGGACCGGGAGAGGUAUGAGGUACUCUGGGGGUAGGGGUAAAAUCCUGUCAUCCUCAGAGGACCACCUGUUGCGAAGGCGUCAUACUGGAACGGAUCCGACGGUCAGGGACGAAGCCUAGGGGCACGAACCGGAUUAGAUACCCGGGUAGUCCUAGGUGUAAACGCUGUGGAUUAGGUGUGUGGGGUCCGCAAUGGGCCCCAUGUGCCGGAGUGAAGAUGUUAAAUCCACGGCCUGGGGAGUACGGUCGCAAGGCUGAAACUUAAAGGGAAUUGGCGGGGCAGCAC
rnacentral:rRNA from 1 species